CGGAGGGUGCAAGCGUUAUCCGGAUUCACUGGGUUUAAAGGGUGCAUAGGCGGGCAGGUAAGUCCGUGGUGAAAUCUCUGAGCUUAACUCAGAAACUGCCAUGGAUACUAUUUGUCUUGAAUAUUGUGGAGGUAAGCGGAAUAUGUCAUGUAGCGGUGAAAUGCUUAGAUAUGACAUAGAACACCAAUUGCGAAGGCAGCUUACUACACAGUUAUUGACGCUGAGGCACGAAAGCGUGGGGAUCAAACAGGAUUAGAUACCCUGGUAGUCCACGCCCUAAACGAUGAUUACUCGACAUCAGCGAUACACUGUUGGUGUCUGAGCGAAAGCAUUAAGUAAUCCACCUGGGAAGUACGAUCGCAAGAUUG
rnacentral:rRNA from 1 species